UCCUAUGGCAAGCAGCCUAAAUAUCCAAAAGGCGUUGGAUCCUGCCUGAUUUUAGAAAAUCAAAAAGAUCAGCCCUGGUUUGUACUUCAGUGAGAGACCACCAAUGAAUCACAGGGGCUGUAGGCU
rnacentral:rRNA from 11 species